AAAGACAAAGAGAAAAGAAAGAAAGAAAGAAAGAAAGAAAGAAAGAAAGAAAGAAAGAAAGAAAGAAAGAAAGAAAGAAAGAAAGAAAGAAAGAAAGAAAGAAAGAAAGAAAGAAAGAAAGAAAGAAAGAAAGAAAGAAAGAAAGAAAGAAAGAAAGAAAGAAAGAAAGAAAGAAAGAAAGAAAGAAAGAAAGAAAGAAAGAAAGGAGGAAGAAAGAAAGCAAGCUAUAAUUUUUCUCAUUUCUAUUUAUCAGUUCUUUCUCUGAAGGUAGACACAUACAAGUCAUUCUAUUUUUUCCUUUUUUUAUUAAGAAUAUUUUUCCAUGGUUACAUGAUUCAUGAUCCUUCCCCCCCCUCCACUGUUUCCUCCCUCCUCCCAAAUCCAACAGGCAGUUCCACUGGGUUAUACAUAUAUCAUUGUUCAAAACCUAUUUCCGUGUUAUUCAUAUCUGCACUAAUGCAAUCCUUUAACAUCAAAACUCUAAUCAUAUCCCUAUCACAUUACGUGAUCAAUCACAUUUUUCUAAAGCAUUUCUGUUUCCACAGUUCUUUCUCUGGAUGUGGAUAUCAUUCUUUCUCACAAGUUCCUCUGAAUUGUCCUGGGCCAUUGCAUUGCUGUCAGCUCAGCAUUGCAGAGCCAGUGGUUUUAUAGGAAGAAAUGAGCUAUAAUGCAAGGUCAUCUGAUUGAUUUCACAUUUCUUGUGUCAAAACCAUGAAAACACCAGGGAAGGAUUGGCCAGUGAAGCAUCAAUAUGUGCCAUAAAACAUGGAAGUUUCCAGAUAUGGAGUCAUCCAGAUAAGAGGAGGAUAAAGUUGCCAGAAUUGUUAAGAUAUACGUAGAGCAGAGGCAGCCUUAUGGUUCUCAAUGAGGCAAAAAACAAAAACAACAACAAAAAUGCUCAGAAUUUUUUGGCCUACCACACCACCAACCCACCUCUCACUUCAAAAUACAAACCCAAUAAAAACGUGUCCACUGAGACA
rnacentral:lncRNA from 1 species